AUGGGGCAAGGACAAUUUUGCUGCCACCAUCUUCCUGACGCAGGAGGAAGUGGCUGUGCUGGGGUGAAGGUCCUGGUGGGAUGAUGAUCCCCGAGCGUGCAGAGCACACAGCAUUUGUCCUGGCCCCUCCUGCUACCUGUACAUCAGCUUACCCCUGGCUUCGUUUGGCAGCUGCAGGAAGAAGGCAGAGUGUAAAAUGGAGGGCGUUUCACCCAGAGU